UUUCGCAAUGCCCGAAAGGGUGACGAAGCGACGCCGCGUGCGGGAAGAAGGCCUUCGGGUUGUAAACCGCUGUCGGGAGUUAGGAAAUGCAAGGAUGUUAAUAGCGUCCUUGCUUGACUAAGGCUCCGGAGGAAGCCACGACUAACUCUGUACCAGCAGCCGCGGUAAUACAGAGGCGGCAAGCGUUGUUCGGAAUUAUUGGGCGUAAAGAGCACGUAGGCGGCUGUGUAAGUCGGUUGUGAAAGCCUUCCGCUUAACGGAAGAACGGCAUCCGAUACUGCAUAGCUUGAGUGCGGGAGGGGAGAGUGGAACUUCUGGUGGAGCGGUGAAAUGCGUAGAUAUCAGAAGGAACACCGGCGGCGAAAGCGACUCUCUGGCCCGUAACUGACGCUGAGUGUGCGAAAGCUAGGGGAUCAAACGGGAUUAGAUACCCCGGUAGUCCUAGCCGUAAACGAUGGGCACUAAGUAGAGGGGUUUU
rnacentral:rRNA from 1 species